rnacentral:rRNA from 1 species
UACGGAGGGGGCUAGCGUUGUUCGGAAUUACUGGGCGUAAAGCGCACGUAGGCGGAUUUGUAAGUUAGGGGUGAAAUCCCGGGGCUCAACCUCGGAACUGCCUUUGAUACUGCAAAUCUCGAGUCCGGAAGAGGUGAGUGGAAUUCCUAGUGUAGAGGUGAAAUUCGUAGAUAUUAGGAAGAACACCAGUGGCGAAGGCGGCUCACUGGUCCGGUACUGACGCUGAGGUGCGAAAGCGUGGGGAGCAAACAGG